AUCAAGCUGACGAGUCCCAAAUAGAACUAAACGCGCGUCCUGGAU
rnacentral:hammerhead_ribozyme from 1 species